AUGGAGAAGGUUGAAGCACUCGAAGACAUGGUUUCAUUUUCUCCUUCCAUUCUUAUCAACGGUGUUGCUGCUGUUUCCACUACUGCAGUUUUGAGUACGAAGAGUCCGACAGCAACUUCACCUACUCAGGCUGCUUCUUGGCAGUGCAAAGUUAGCAGACCAAGCCACACAACCAACCAAUCAAAAAAUGGUGCCCGGCAUACCAUGCUCCAGGAAAGGAGGUCAUGUGCUUGA
rnacentral:rRNA from 1 species